CCUACGGGUGGCAGCAGUGAGGAAUAUUGGUCAAUGGACGAGAGUCUGAACCAGCCAAGUAGCGUGAAGGAUGACUGCCCUAUGGGUUGUAAACUUCUUUUAUAUGGGAAUAAAACGUUCCACGUGUGGGAUUUUGUAUGUACCAUAUGAAUAAGGAUCGGCUAACUCCGUGCCAGCAGCCGCGGUAAUACGGAAGAUCCGAGCGUUAUCCUGAUUUAUUGGGUUUAAAGGGAGCGUAGGUGGAUUGUUAAGUCAGUUGUGAAAGUUUGCGGCUCAACCGUAAAAUUGCAGUUGAAACUGGCAGUCUUGAGUACAGUAGAGGUGGGCGGAAUUCGUGGGGUAGCGGUGAAAUGCUUAGAUAUCACGAAGAACUCCGAUUGCGAAGGCAGUUCACUGGACUGUAACUGACACUGAGGCUCGAAAGUGUGGGUAUCAAACAGGAUUAGAUACCCCUGUAGUC
rnacentral:rRNA from 1 species